AGACUGAAGUCAGAGGAGAAAGAGACUGGAAAACCCAACAUUGCCAAAAUUCUGCAGCAGUUGGGAAGAGAAGGAUAUUGAGACAAAUGAGUCUUUGAACAAUAAUGGUGGUUGCUGGGAAGACAAGGCUGCCAACAUUAUUGCUUGCAAGGGAAUGGCAGUGGUUGCUCUUUUAAGGUAUUUUGGAUGCCCUUGCUGCUGGGAACUUGCUUCAACACUGAAUACACGUAAAUCUCUCACGCAUUUGAUUUUCAUUGGAUUUUGGUACAUGACAGGCAAUUCAAAUAAGUAGAACUUGAUCCAUGGUGCAGGGAUCUUAAUGGAAACUCUCUAUCUGGAAGAGUCCCUGCGAAACUCAAGAAGACGGCCUCUCCAUAGAGCUAGCUUCAAGCAAGCUGUCAUUUAUAAGAAUGAUUACUAACUUGUGAGGCCAUAUUUAUGUUUCCUUUCAAUUAGUGAAAAUAUAACACCUGAGGUAGUCCAUGACAAUUGACAACUACUAGUUAAAAGUCAGACUAGUGUUAUUAGUUUGGCAUCACUUUCAAAAUGGUGGUGACUCAUCCAUUGGGCAUGUGGCAUCCAUGUAAGUCCAUAAUGACUAAGUCAUGAUGCCAUUGUGGACAGAGCAUAGAGGCCGAAAGUCACACUGAUCAGAAGAUCAUAACCAUCCAAUGAUCAAUGGCUCAAGUGAGUUGUUCAAACGAUGAUGGUUAAGAUUGUGAAAUACGCUUAUUCUCGGCCUUAUACUCCAUCCAUGAUCAUGGUGGGUUGUGACGGUUUGACGAUCGGGUUUCAGUAGCAUAUUUUCCGUGUGUACACUGGAUGUGAGUCAGCAUCAUUUUGAUAAUGAUGAACUAUUGUUGUAGUGUAGCCUAAUUUUUAAUAGCUUAUGUUGUGUAUUAUUAAAAUUAGUGUUUGACAUGUACAGUUUUACCAGCAAUGUAGGCCUCUGUGGUAUACCGGGGCUACCUACAUGUGGGCCUCACCUCUCCACUGGCUCUAAGGUUGGCAUUGCGUUGGGGGCAUUUAUAGCACUUGCACUUAUUGUCAUCUGUUCCAUAUGCUGGUGGAAAAGACGGCAGAAUAUUCUUCGAGCUCAGAAGCUUGCUGCAAGGGAUGCUCCGUAGGCAAAAGUGAGGACUCACUUCGUGCAUGACGUGCAAAUGACCAGGCCCUGCAUUCAGGACCAAGCUCAAGUGGCUGCUGAGAUCGGGCCCCGCUUACUCUCUUAGCUGAACUGCCAUUUUCUUUUGGUUCCACCCAUGUCAAUCCCUAUUCCAUUCGUUUAUAACCCGUCGAUUGAGGUUUUUCAAGUCACAUUCCACUGGUUCUGUCUCUAUGCAGAGCUUCCUCCUUUGACGGGAAAAUAGUUCUGAAAAUCCCCCUGGCAGAAUUGAUUUCUUCCUCUGUCAUGUAUGCCAUUCUCAUGUAGUUUUUGUGGUUGUAAGGUGUAUAUCAGGAGUUAAUGUAUAUUCUGCAUUCUUUCAGGGAUUCCUUAGAACAUCA